rnacentral:misc_RNA from 1 species
GAAGUUUCGUACAUAAUUUUAUUUUCUCUGUUCCUUGAUAGUAGGUAAUGACAUCUUUUUCUCCACUUUAUCAAAUAAAUCAGCUGAUUCUAAUUUGUGAAUGCUAAUAAUAAUUUAUUUACAAAAAGAUGAAUAACUACAAUUAUUAGUAGUGACACCAGAUAUAUUACACGUGUCAAGUUGUUGACUGCCUGUCUACCAAUAUAAUGGUAUUGAUAAAGAUCACGUUAAGUAUUAAAGAUAAAGAAGAGACAAAAUAC